UUCUGGUUAGUUUAGUGGCCAUGACGGCGCCUUGUCAUGUUCGCCCAUACGGGAACGGCGCAGACCCGGGUUCAAUUCCCGGACCGGAAG